ensembl:snRNA U1 U1 spliceosomal RNA
AUACUUACCUGGCAGGGAAGAUAACAUGAUCACGAAGAUGGUUUUCCCAGAGUGAGGCUUAUCCAUUUCACUCUGGAUGUGCUGACCUCUCUGAUUUCCCCAAAUGUGGGAAAUCCGACUGCAUAAUUUGUGGUAGUGGGGGACUGUGUUCAACCUCUCCCUUG